rnacentral:rRNA from 1 species
UAUGUGAUCGUCUCUCGCAUAUCAAUAAGCGGAGGAAAAGAAACUAACAAGGAUUCCCCUAGUAACGGCGAGUGAAGCGGGAAGAGCUCAAAUUUGAAAUCUUAAAGGGUUUCCCUUUACGAAUUGUAGUUUAAAGAAGUGUUUUCUGUUGAGGUUUUGGUAAAAGUUCUUUGGAAUAGGACAUCAUAGAGGGUGAGAAUCCCGUAUUUGACCUUUACUUUCAACUUUGUGAUACACUUUCAAAGAGUCGGAUUGUUUGGGAAUGCAGUCCAAAAUGGGUGGUAAAUUUCAUCUAAAGCUAAAUAUUGGCGAGAGACCGAUAGCGAACAAGUACCGUGAGGGAAAGAUGAAAAGAACUUUGAAAAGAGAGUUAAACAGUACGUGAAAUUGUCAAAAGGGAAGCGUUUGACACCAGUGUUGUUUUUCUGAAAAUCAAUUAAAGAACUGUUUAUGCUAAGCUGUUUAGACUUUAUCAGCUAUCUGUUUAGUUUUGAGCUUUUCUUUAAUGCACUUUUCAGUUAACAAGUCAACAUCAAUUUCUUUUGCUGUAAAAAAGCUUGAGGAAGGUGGCUUGAGAUUCGUCUUAAGUGUUUAUAGCCUCUUGCCUAUGCAGUCGGAGAGAUUGAGGUCUGCAGCGUAGAUCCUUCGGGGCUAAAUGCAUUUGUGCUAAGUUAUAGCAUUUUAUAGACAACUUGUUGACUAUGAUUUGUCUUGUAGCUUACUCGCUUAUGUUAUUUUACCUACGCUUAGGAUGUUGACACACGCGCGUGCUCG